UGGGGAAUAUUGCACAAUGGGCGCAAGCCUGAUGCAGCCAUGCCGCGUGUGUGAAGAAGGCCUUCGGGUUGUAAAGCACUUUCAGCGAGGAGGAAGGUGGUGAGCUUAAUACGCUCAUCAAUUGACGUUACUCGCAGAAGAAGCACCGACUAACUCCGUGCCAGCAGCCGCGGUAAUACGGAGGGUGCAAGCGUUAAUCGGAAUUACUGGGCGUAAAGCGCACGCAGGCGGUUUGUUAAGUCAGAUGUGAAAAUCCCCGGGCUCAACCUGGGAACUGCAUUUGAAAACUGGCAAGCUAGAGUCUCGUAGAGGGGGGUAGAAUUCCAGGUGUAGCGGUGAAAUGCGUAGAGAUCUGGAGGAAUACCGGUGGCGAAGGCGGCCCCCUGGACGAAGACUGACGCUCAGGUGCGAAAGCGUGGGGAGCAAAACAGGAUUAGAUACCCUGGUAGUCCACGCUGUAAAACGAUGUCGAUUUUGGAGGUUGUGCCCCUUGAGGCGUGGCUUCCGGAGCUAACGCGUU
rnacentral:rRNA from 1 species